rnacentral:rRNA from 1 species
AUUGAACGCUGGCGGCAGGCCUAACACAUGCAAGUCGAGCGGAUGAAGGGAGCUUGCUCCUGGAUUCAGCGGCGGACGGGUGAGUAAUGCCUAGGAAUCUGCCUGGUAGUGGGGGAUAACGUCCGGAAACGGGCGCUAAUACCGCAUACGUCCUGAGGGAGAAAGUGGGGGAUCUUCGGACCUCACGCUAUCAGAUGAGCCUAGGUCGGAUUAGCUAGUUGGUGGGGUAAAGGCCUACCAAGGCGACGAUCCGUAACUGGUCUGAGAGGAUGAUCAGUCACACUGGAACUGAGACACGGUCCAGACUCCUACGGGAGGCAGCAGUGGGGAAUAUUGGACAAUGGGAGAAAGCCUGAUCCAGCCAUGCCGCGUGUGUGAAGAAGGUCUUCGGAUUGUAAAGCACUUUAAGUUGGGAGGAAGGGCAGUAAGUUAAUACCUUGCUGUUUUGACGUUACCAACAGAAUAAGCACCGGCUAACUUCGUG